CUGCCCCGACCUGUGGUGUCUGCCCCGACGAGAUCUCGUCGAAGCAUGCCACGUUUCGCAGACUGGCCUACAUGUAAAGGGAUGUAGAUACAGUUAGUUGGGCACUCUUCUUAAUUCAGUUUUGUGCACCACUUCCUGCUUUCACCAUGCUGUGCCCACUCUGCUUUACAGUGGACAGCUGCUUCUGUGACACGCAUUAAUCUUGCGUUCAUUGAAACACUUAGUUUUGAGUGUUUUGACUCAGUUUUGUUGUAACGUUACCUGUGUUUAUGUUUUCAAUAACUUGUUUUGGGCUUCUCAUAUUUAUCUUUUUUUUUUCUGGCUUAGCAGGUUUAGUGUAAAACAAGUUUUAGCUGACAUUUUACAUGUUAAGAUUACAUGAGUGCAUGCAUUUUAUAAAAGCUAUUUCAAAGUACUGUAGCCAUGUGUAACAUGCAUAUGUCUUAGUGAAUGACUACUCAGCAUGCUGCUUGGUGCUCAAUGGUAAUAGUUUGAUUUGUUUUUGACAUCAAGUAAGAUUUGAUUUUUGUUUCUGAGAUUCCAAUGUUAUUUGUGGCAAAUAUUGUCCAAAAAUCCUCCAUCUAAAGCUUCAACUGAAUUCUAAAAUGCCUGCAUUUUCUACCAGAAACAUUAUCAUUGAUUCCUCCUACAAUAUUUCAUUUUGUCACCAGGUACCUGGACUGGUGAAAAGUGAAAAUCAUAGACGCUUCCGAGACGAAAUCAUAGACGCUGCAGUGUGGAGAACAGCUUGGAGGUACCUUCGUCGAAUUGACUGCUGACGAGCAGCACAGAAGAUCCUCAGUCAUAGUUAACAAAAUGGAAAAAAAAUUAGCUGUCUUUUUAAGAUUCCAGUGGUGGCCAUCAACUGCUCAGGAAAGCAGCCCAGAAUCACUUCACAACAGGUUUCCAAAGGAUCAUCAUUCAUCAGCACAGAAGGAAGGGAAAGAGAAGGCUGUUCAAAUUCUGAAAAGCCAGAGCUGCAAAGGAGGUCAAAGAUGCAGUGCAGUUGGCCCACUCAGUAGAGUUUCACUAGUGGUUCUGAUGUGGACUGAAGAUUACACGCUGGAUUGAAGUGGCCGGUCUGGAGCAGCUGUAGUUCAUCGUUCUUGCUGAUUGUGGACGAGUAAGAGCCCGCGUUGGCCCCGAUCGGCGAUCGCUGGCCAAAGCCCACCACCAGUUUGGUGAUAGGCGUUGGCUGUGAUAUCUAGUGUCGCCUAUGUGUGAAAGGGACAAGUUGAUAACAAAACCUGUUGCGCCAUGUUAUUAACCCGCGCCCGGGUGGCCCUCAGCCAACUUGGUGUGGGGGGGGACGUGUAUUCGGCCACACCAGGUUAUCUUGGAAUGUAGCAAAGCUGGAAAGACGCAGUAAAAUCAAUCUAUAGAUCGCUAUUUUUCUUCAGAAUCAUGCAGGUCAUUUUUGAUCAGGUCAUCGCUGAGGUCACUGGAGGUCACCAAAAGUAAAAUGAUGACGAAUUUUGGCCCCCGAUUUUGACAACUUCACAAAUUGGUCCAUAAUUCGGGAACCAAAGAAGCUACAGCGCCGCGGAAAAGCGAAUUCGAUAGCUCUUUCGAAAAUCUUUCAGGUUCUCAGAUUUGAGCUAAGGUCAACUAGGGUUAAGCCUCCAAAGGGCAAAAACUGAACAAUCGGCUUGCUUCGGAAGUCGUCUUUUCUUUA